rnacentral:sRNA from 1 species
CUUUUACCUCGUUGCACUGCUGAGAGCAAGAUGGGUCACCAGCAGCUGUACUGGAGUCACCCGCGAAAAUUCGGCCAGGGUUCUCGCUCUUGUCGCGUCUGUUCAAACCGGCACGGUCUGAUCCGGAAAUAUGGCCUCAAUAUGUGCCGCCAGUGUUUCCGUCAGUACGCGAAGGAUAUCGGUUUCAUUAAGGUAGGCGUCUGCAGGCGUACUCCAUGUUGUUUGGGCAGAGAAGGUUGUGGGGGUUCUUUAUAUUUUCCGCGAAAGACAAACGGACAGAUCUUCCCUGGAGUGGUAAUUCUGAGCAUUCGACCAAGAGCUUUUCCUCUUUUUUUAGUUGGUAGCUGGUGACAGUGUUGAUGGUUUGGGCAAUCAAAUUAAUAGAAUGGAGAAGGUGAAGGACUCAGUCUUUCCUACUCCCUUUUUUACCUAGAUAGCUUAGCCAGUUUUAGGUGCCGUGUAUUGUGUUUGGUGAAAUUCACUUUAGAGAAGCCACUAAAAUUGUUUUACAUUUGUUUCAUUUAUCAAUCUUGUAAGUACCUAUUCUCUCUCUUUUUUUGUUUUUAGAGAUAGGGUCUCCCUCUGUCGCCCAGGUUGAAGUGCAGUGGCGUUGUUACGGCUCACUGCAGCC